UAAAAGUUUUAUUCUUGCUUAAAUAUUUAUUAUUAAUUUAUUUUACAUGUAAAUUUUUGUAUGAAUUAAGAUAUAUUUAAAUAAUAUAUUUUUUAUAUUAUAUUUGCAGUAAUUAAUAUUAUAAAUUUAAGGAAAUUUAGAAAUAGUAAUAUUAUUGAGUAUUAACAAAUUUUGUGCCAGCAGUUGCGGUUAUACAAAAAAUAUAAAUAAAUCAUAUUAGAUGUAGUUAAAUUGAUAUUUUUAAAUUAAAAUUAAAUUUGUUAGGUGAAAUUUUAAAUUUAUAAUAAUUUAAUUAAAAAAUUAAUUGAAGCUAGAAAAUUUUAAUUAUAAACUAGGAUUAGAUACCCUAUUAUUUAAAAUGUAAAUAGAUAGUCUAGAGUAGUAAUAGUUAUGUUCUUGAAACUUAAAGAAUUUGGCGGUAUUUUAGUCUAUUCAGAGGAACCUGUUCUAUAAUCGAUAGUCCACGUUGGAUCUUACUUAAAUUUGUAUAUCAAUAUGUAUAUCGCCGUUAUCAGAAUAUUUUAUAAGAAUAAUAAUUUUCUAAAUUUUUAAUUUAAUAAUGAUGUCAGGUCAAGGUGCAGUUUAUAUUUAAGUAGAAAUGGGUUACAAUAAAAUUAUUUAUAUGGAAAUAAAAUUGAAAUAUUUUAUAGAAGGUGGAUUUGAUAGUAAAAUUAUGUAGAUUAUUAAUUUGAUUAUAGCUCUAAAAUAUGCACACAUCGCCCGUCGCUCUUAUUAUUAAGAUAAGAUAAGUCGUAACAUAGUAGAUGUACUGGAAAGUGUAUCUAGAAUGAC
rnacentral:ncRNA from 1 species